rnacentral:rRNA from 1 species
GAUGAACGCUAGCGAUAGGCCUAACACAUGCAAGUCGAGGGGCAGCACAUGAGUAGCAAUACGAUGGUGGCGACCGGCGCACGGGUGAGUAACGCGUAUGCAACCUACCUGUUACAGGGGAAUAACCCGGAGAAAUCCGGACUAAUACCGCAUAACACUACGAUAUCGCAUGGUAUUGUAGUUAAAGAUUCAUUGGUAACAGAUGGGCAUGCGUGACAUUAGCUGGUUGGUGAGGUAACGGCUCACCAAGGCAACGAUGUCUAGGGGUUCUGAGAGGAAGGUCCCCCACACUGGUACUUAGACACGGACCAGACUCCCACGGGAGGCAGCAGUGAGGAAUAUUGGUCAAUGGGCGAGAGCCUGAACCAGCCAAAUCGCGUGCAGGAUGACUGCCUUAUGGGUUGUAAACUGCUUUUGUAAAGGAAUAACAACUCCUACGUGUAGGAGGAUGAAUGUACUUUAAGAAUAAGGAUCGGCUAACUCCGUGCCAGCAGCCGCCGCAGUAA